rnacentral:piRNA from 1 species
UGAGUUCCAUCUCUUCUGUGCAAGCCUGC